CAGUCGAGCGAGCUUGCCUAGAUGAUUUUAGUGCUUGCACUAAAUGACACUAGAUACAAGCGAGCGGCGGACGGGUGAGUAACACGUGGGUAACCUGCCCAAGAGACUGGGAUAACACCUGGAAACAGAUGCUAAUACCGGAUAACAACACUAGACGCAUGUCUAGAGUUUGAAAGAUGGUUCUGCUAUCACUCUUGGAUGGACCUGCGGUGCAUUAGCUAGUUGGUAAGGUAACGGCUUACCAAGGCAAUGAUGCAUAGCCGAGUUGAGAGACUGAUCGGCCACAUUGGGACUGAGACACGGCCCAAACUCCUACGGGAGGCAGCAGUAGGGAAUCUUCCACAAUGGACGAAAGUCUGAUGGAGCAACGCCGCGUGAGUGAAGAAGGGUUUCGGCUCGUAACGCUCUGUUGGUAGUGAAGAAAGAUAGAGGUAGUAACUGGCCUUUAUUUGACGGUAAUUACUUAGAAAGUCACGGCUAACUACGUGCCAGCAGCCGCGGUAAUACGUAGGUGGCAAGCGUUGUCCGGAUUUAUUGGGCGUAAAGCGAGUGCAGGCGGUUCAAUAAGUCUGAUGUGAAAGCCUUCGGCUCAACCGGAGAAUUGCAUCAGAAACUGUUGAACUUGAGUGCAGAAGAGGAGAGUGAACUCCAUGUGUAGCGGUGGAAUGCGUAGAUAUAUGGAAGAACACCAGUGGCGAAGGCGGCUCUCUGGUCUGCAACUGACGCUGAGGCUCGAAAGCAUGGGUAGCGAAC
rnacentral:rRNA from 1 species